rnacentral:rRNA from 1 species
GUAUUCAUAUGCUGUUUUCAAAGAUUAACCCAGCCAUGGGUAAGUAUAAGUAUUGUCCAGGGAAAUUGGGAAGGGUUCAUUAAUCCAGUUAUAGUUUUUUUGUUAAUGAAAAGUUCCAGGGAUACCCGGGCCAAAUACCAGUUAAUCCAGCCAUCAAGCCCUGUACGAGGGUGUAAUUAUUAGUAAUUAACCCAUUUCUUAGGCAAGGGGGUGAAUUAUUGUAAUUGAAAGGAUUGCCGAAUUGUGCGAUAAAUCAUUCAAGUUUCUGCCCUAUCAGCUUUGGAUGGUAGUGUAUUGGACUACCAUGGCAGUCACGGGUAACGGAGAAUUAGGGUUCGAUUCCGGAGAGGGAGCCUGAGAAACGGCUACCACAUCUACGGAAGGCAGCAGGCGCGAAAAUUGCCCAAUCCCGACUCAGGGAGGCAGUGACAAGAAAUAACAACUUUCAAUUAUGUUAAAAAGUGUAAUGAGGAUAAUUUAAAAACCUUACCGAAAGCAAUUGGAGGGCAAGUCUGGUGCCAGCAGCC